AUUGAACGCUGGCGGCAGGCCUAACACAUGCAAGUCGAGCGGGGUUUUCGGACCUAGCGGCGGACGGGUGAGUAAUGCGUAGGAAGCUGCCCGAUAGAGGGGGAUACCAGUUGGAAACGACUGUUAAUACCGCAUAAUGUCUACGGACCAAAGUGUGGGACCUUCGGGCCACAUGCUAUCGGAUGCGCCUACGUGGGAUUAGCUAGUUGGGGAGGUAAUGGCUCACCAAGGCGACGAUCUCUAGCUGGUUUGAGAGGAUGAUCAGCCACACUGGAACUGAGACACAGUCCAGCAUCCUACGGGAGGCAGCAGUGGGGAAUAUUGGACAAGGGGCGCAAGCCUGAUCCAGCCAUGCCGCGUGUGUGAAGAAGGCCUUCGGGUUGUAAAGCACUUUCAGCGAGGAGGAAGGGGUGUGUGUUAAUAGUACACACCUUUGACGUUACUCGCAGAAGAAGCACCGGCUAACUCUGUGCCAGCCGCCGCAGUAAAAC
rnacentral:rRNA from 1 species